rnacentral:rRNA from 1 species
AGGAUUAACGCUGGCGGCGUGCCUAACACAUGCAAGUCGAACGAGGUAGCAAUACCUAGUGGCAGACGGGUGAGUAGCGCGUGGUCAACCUACCGUUGAGUGGGGGAUAACUAGCCGAAAGGUUAGCUAAUACCGCAUAUGUCUCCGAGGGGCAUCCCUUGGUGAUAAAAGGAGCAAUCCGCUCGAUGACGGGACCGCGUCCCAUUAGCUAGUUGGUGGGGUAACGGCCUACCAAGGCAUCGAUGGGUAGCUGGUUUGAGAGAGCGACCAGCCACACUGGGACUGAGAUACGGCCCAGACUCCUACGGGAGGCAGCAGUGAGGAAUUUUCCGCAAUGGGCGAAAGCCUGACGGAGCGACGCCGCGUGUGGGAAGAAGGCCUUCGGGUCGUAAACCACUGUCGAAGGGGAAGAUAAUGACGGUACCCUUGGAGGAAGCCCCGGCUAACUACGCGCCAGCAGCCGC